rnacentral:lncRNA from 1 species
UUUAUAUAUAUAUAUAUAUACACUCUCUCUCCUAGCAUCUUCUGGGAUUGUUCAGUUAAAACAGAAGUUCACCUAAGCAGAUGUAGGUUAGCAUUUAUUAAUAGUACUUGAUGGCGCUGCAUUAAUAUUUAUUGAUGGUGCUGUAUUAAUAUUAAGCAGAUAUGGUAACCUAUGUUUUGGAGGGAAAAACAAAAUACGUGAGGGAAUGAUAAAUGACAGUAUUUUAGGCC